UAAAGGCUGUGCUAGAGGGAGUGGGAGGCCUGCUGAGAGAGAGGGCAGGCCAUAUAUUCCCAGGCCUGCCUGCUCUAGGGCCACGCUGCAAGCCUGUGUCUUGAUUGCCAACUUCAGUGCCAAGAUACAUGGCAGCUGUUCCGGAGUCAAUGCCGUAGCAGCGCCCAGCUGCAGGAUGAGGCGGGGCUGCAUGAGUAUGCUGAACCUACACCCGGCCCCAACUUGACAAAGGACAGAGAGAAGCUUCGUCUGGAUGCGCUCGACAUGCCCGGGCUUUACCGAGGCGUUCUCUGAUUGUGUCAGCCAGUGACUUGCAUACAUGAUGCUGCAGCACGUGUGCAGAGGUCAGAAGACAAAGUGUGGGAGCUGGUUCUCUUCUACUGCGUGGAUUCCAGGGAUCGAACUGAACUCGGUCAACACACUUGGCUGUCUCACCAGCUCUCUUGUCUUUCUCUG